rnacentral:rRNA from 1 species
UACGAAGGGGGCUAGCGUUGUUCGGAAUUACUGGGCGUAAAGCGCGUGUAGGCGGGUCUUUAAGUCAGGGGUGAAAUGCCAGGGCUCAACCUUGGAACUGCCUUUGAUACUGGAGACCUUGAGUCCGGGAGAGGUGAGUGGAAUUGCGAGUGUAGAGGUGAAAUUCGUAGAUAUUCGCAAGAACACCAGUGGCGAAGGCGGCUCACUGGCCCGGAACUGACGCUGAGACGCGAAACGUGGGGAGCAAACAGG